UCCCUCAUCAGACAGUUUCACUUUGGAGAUUUUCAGUGAAACGUCUCCAAACUCCAGUUUACUAAAUAACAUUGACGUUCUUCCUUUAUAAUCAGGAUGCUUUAAACUUUCCUGUUCUUCUUUCUCAGACCACACAUAGACAUAUGAAGGGUCUAGGCCUCCUCUGGACCACUCUAUGGACAUGUCUGAAGCAUCAACGGCAGGUUCCAGCCGACAUGACAAAAGAAUGUCACCACCAACCAUUGCCAGGACCGGCUGAGACGGACCAACCACCUGGGAAAGACCUGGAGAAAAGCAGAGAGCCGACAGAGGAGCACCCUGACCCUGAGAAAUGGCUCGGCUAUGAUGCUCCAGUAAAGAAGCCACGGCGGGCUUUGAAGAGGCUGUCAGAUAGGGGGGAGUGAGAUGUUGUUUAGCCUGACGUAAAGUUCCCAUGAUCCAUCCUGUGAUUACAUUUAAUGAUCAGUUAUGAACAAUUAACUGAAACCAUUUCUAAAAUUACAUUUUAAAUGUUAUUAAGAUGGUGGUUUUGAACACUGAUCAGUCUUAAUGUAGCUUACAUUAUUUCUGGAUACGUGUAAGACUUAAAGUUUGCAGCGUUGGUCAGUCUCAGUAUUUUAAUUCUUGCUAGUCUGUACUUGUCAUUAUGUGGACCUUAGCAACACUUUAUUUUAUAGAUUGUUCAUUCAGAAUCUUUACAAUAUAUAGAAUAAUCUUACCUGUUUGUAAAUAGUCAUUUUUAUUCAUUUUUACAGUGAAGAAUGAUUUUACCUGUUUGCAAAUAGUUAUCUGUAUAAACCUUUAGAAUAUGAAAUGUUCUUACCCAUUUCUGAAUUUUAAUUGUCAGAAAUCUUUACAAUAUAACUGUAAUAAAUCUUACAGUAUCUGACCUGUCUGUAAAUUGUUUGUUACUAACAAAUGUUAUCAAUGUGUUUAUGUUACAAAUACUUAUUUUUCAAACACUUACUGCUGAAAUGACUGAGUGUGGCCUUAAGUGUAGACAUCAACACAGAAAAAAGUACUGGAAUUUAUUUCUGAAGUGAAAGCUUGAUAUAAAGGAAAAAGUGCAUUUUUGUAGGAGGAAAAGAGAGUUUCUGCAGGAUGCUGGCUGGAUUGAAGCAGAGGUGAGUUUGGUAAGCAGACAGACAGAUAUGCAGUUGUCCUAGGGCUGAGGGAAAAAAGGCUGAGUGUCAGAAUACAUCAAUAAGAAAGCAAUGUUGUCUAAAAAAACAAGGAACCUAGGAACAAAACGAACAUGUUUUGCAUUUAUACACGUUUUGUAAAUACUGCCUUUUUAUUACAGUAAACAUUUCAUCCAAAAUUGUUGUAAACUACAUGACUGUUAGCAGUUUUGUCUCUGUAGUCUCGACCCACAUUUUGCACGUACUGCAUUUGAUAGAAACUGUUUUUUCCAUUUCAGCAUGCAGUUGUUCAGAAAUUAUACUUUAAUUCAUUGGAGACCACUUGCAGAAAUUACAACUUAACUAAUAUUUGGCAUUCAGCAGUUCGGCUCUGUCUUUUAAGAAACGCAUUCCAGCAACGUAUUCCUAAUACCAUUUCUAAUUAUUGACUAACUAUUUCCUGGACACAGAUUUCCCUGGGCAACACGGGGGUGCAGGUCAGCAAAAUCUGUUUCCGAAGACUAAACCGAACAAGAAUGUCCCCGUUCACACAGGACUUAGCUGUGCUCAUCUUUGGGCGGGACGUUUUGGCAUCCUCGACUCUCACAGGAAAAGCAGGGCCUACUGGAAGAGUGAAAGAGCAGCUAAAUCCGGAAAAGCUGAGUGUCCUUGUUGAUACAGUUAUUGCUGAAUUUCCAGGAACAAAUGUGUCUGAUGUGAGGCAGUGAUGCGGAGAAAAUGUGACAAUGAGAAUUUUGUGAGCAAAAAGAAACAGUAAGCAGUAACAUCAGGAACUGUUUGUAAUCGUUUUUCUUUGUUUUUUGGUGGACAUACAUUUUGAAAAACUGUGUCAAUGUUUCACAUGUAAAAGUUUCAAAAGUCAGUUUAAUGUUCAUCCCUGUCAUUACUAGCGUCAUUACUAGCAGGGUAGUGCUAGCACAGCUAUUGUUUCUUUUCCUUUUACUAUUGUCUUUUAGUUAACUUGUUAGAGUAUGACUAAAAAGAAUUCUCUGGGGUCAGAUGAUCCAAAUUUGAAUAAAAAUGUUACGAUGAAGAGAAACUGUUUGAAAAUGUUGUUUAAGACGUUUUUAAAGAUGUACUUAAAUGUACUUUAUUAUGCACAUGUCACCCAAUAAUGUCUCAGCUAAGGAGUAAAUGACAACGCCACUCUGGAAAGGCCCAGAGACUGUAAAGAGUUACUAAAACUAAACCUACACAGGUAAGUUCCACAAAGAAAACAGAGACGUGGUUUAUAAUUCUAUAAAGCAGGAAGGGCCAUCCUUCUUGCCAAUUUUAUUCAAAUGAUGUGGUUAGGGAGGAAAAAGGAAUAAACUUAAGGUCACUAGGCCUCCGUGAUUCCACAAUAGUAAGAGGAAUGGGAAGGUGAACAGAUCUAAAACAUACAAUAUGCAGAGGUGUCGCCAGUAUUUAAAACAA